rnacentral:rRNA from 1 species
GGCUUAACACAUGCAAGUCGAGCGGAAACGAUGAUAGCUUGCUAUCAGGCGUCGAGCGGCGGACGGGUGAGUAAUACUUAGGAAUCUACCUAGUAGUGGGGGAUAGCUCGGGGAAACUCGAAUUAAUACCGCAUACGUCCUACGGGAGAAAGCAGGGGAUCUUUGGACCUUGCGCUAUUAGAUGAGCCUAAGUCGGAUUAGCUAGAUGGUGGGGUAAAGGCCUACCAUGGCGACGAUCUGUAGCUGGUCUGAGAGGAUGAUCAGCCACACCGGGACUGAGACACGGCCCGGACUCCUACGGGAGGCAGCAGUGGGGAAUAUUGGACAAUGGGGGGAACCCUGAUCCAGCCAUGCCGCGUGUGUGAAGAAGGCCUUUUGGUUGUAAAGCACUUUAAGCAGUGAAGAAGACUCUUCGGUUAAUACCCGGGGACGAUGACAUUAGCUGCAGAAUAAGCACCGGCUAACUCUGUGCCAGCAGCCGCGGUAAUACAGAGGGUGCAAGCGUUAAUCGGAAUUACUGGGCGUAAAGCGAGCGUAGGUGGCUUGAUAAGUCAGAUGUGAAAUCCCCGGGCUUAACCUGGGAACUGCAUCUGAAACUGUUAGGCUAGAGUAGGUGAGAGGGAAGUAGAAUUUCAGGUGUAGCGGUGAAAUGCGUAGAGAUCUGAAGGAAUACCGAUGGCGAAGGCAGCUUCCUGGCAUCAUACUGACACUGAGGCUCGAAAGCGUGGGUAGCAAACAGGAUUAGAUACCCUGGUAGUCCACGCCGUAAACGAUGUCUACUAGUCGUUGGGUCCCUUGAGGACUUAGUGACGCAGCUAACGCAAUAAGUAGACCGCCUGGGGAGUACGGCCGCAAGGUUAAAACUCAAAUGAAUUGACGGGGGCCCGCACAAGCGGUGGAGCAUGUGG